UUUUGGUAUGGGUUUAUAUCAGGGUGUUCCGUCUACUCUUGCUUUCAUAGCCUUCGAACUCCCACCUAAUGGAGCUAUUGGCACUCGGAUUCUGGAGUUCCUAUUUCGCUCCAGAUCUGAUAUGAUUGCAGGUGAUCGAUCGUCAGAAGUAUUGAUGAGGCUAUAACAACUGGCACUGCACUCUCGUUGUAAUCUUCUACAUUUGUUCU